GAUGAACGCUAGCGGCAGGCCUAACACAUGCAAGUCGAGGGGUAGAAGGAGCUUGCUCCUUUGAGACCGGCGCACGGGUGCGUAACGCGUAUGCAAUCUACCUUGUACAGGGGAAUAGCCCAGAGAAAUUUGGAUUAAUGCCCCAUAGUAUAUAACCUUCGCAUGUUGGUUAUAUUAAAGUUCCAACGGUACAAGAUGAGCAUGCGUCCCAUUAGUUAGUUGGUAAGGUAACGGCUUACCAAGACGAUGAUGGGUAGGGGUCCUGAGAGGGAGAUCCCCCACACUGGUACUGAGACACGGACCAGACUCCUACGGGAGGCAGCAGUGAGGAAUAUUGGUCAAUGGUCGCAAGACUGAACCAGCCAUGCCGAGUGCAGGAAGACGGUCCUAUGGAUGGUAAACUGCUUUUAUACAGGAAGAAACCCUCCCACGUGUGGGAGCUUGACGGUACUGGAGGAAUAAGGAUCGGCUAACUCCGUG
rnacentral:rRNA from 1 species